rnacentral:rRNA from 1 species
UACGUAGGGGCCUAGCGUUGUCCGGAAUCAUUGGGCGUAAAGAGCUCGUAGGCGGUUCGGCAAGUCACGUGUGAAAUCUCCACGCUUAACGUGGAGGCGCCACGUGAAACUGCCGUGACUCGAGUCCGGUAGGGGAGUGUGGAAUUCCCGGUGUAGCGGUGAAAUGCGCAGAUAUCAGGAGGAACACCGGUGGCGAAGGCGGGUCUCUGGGCCGAUACUGACGCUGAGGAGCGAAAGCGUGGGGAGCGAACAGG